AACGAACGCUGGCGGCGUGCUUAACACAUGCAAGUCGAACGAUGAACCCGGAGCUUGCUCCGGUGGAUUAGUGGCGAACGGGUGAGUAACACGUGAGUAACCUGCCCUUGACUCUGGGAUAACUGCGGGAAACUGUAGCUAAUACCGGAUACGACACCUUGGGGCAUCCCAGGGUGUGGAAAGAAUUUCGGUCAAGGAUGAGCUCGCGGCCUAUCAGCUAGUUGGUGAGGUAAUGGCUCACCAAGGCGACGACGGGUAGCCGGCCUGAGAGGGUGACCGGCCACUCUGGAACUGAGACACGGUCCAGACUCCUACGGGAGGCAGCAGUGGGGAAUAUUGCACAAUGGGCGAAAGCCUGAUGCAGCAACGCCGCGUGAGGGAUGAAGGCCUUCGGGUUGUAAACCUCUUUUAGCAGGGAAGAAGCGAAAGUGACGGUACCUGCAGAAAAAGCACCGGCUAACUACGUGCCAGCCGCCGCGGUAA
rnacentral:rRNA from 1 species